rnacentral:sRNA from 2 species
CAUAUGUGAGCGCUUAAUCCCAUAAAGGGAGCGGGGGAACCAAAACACAGUGCAGUGGCACUUGGGGUGAAUCCUUUUAAUUGAAGGCAGGACAUUUCUCUUCGUCCGAAUCCGACAGCUAACCUCGUAAGCGAGAAGAGACACUUC